CCUGCCCGGUGACUUAGUUAAACGGCCGCGGUAUUUUGACCGUGCAAAGGUAGCAUAAUCAUUUGCCUUUUAAAUGGGGGCUGGUAUGAAUGGCAAGACGGAAAUUAGACUGUCUCUUUCUUUUUUUUUGAAUUUGAUCUUUCUGUGAAGAAGCAGGAAUGUAGUCGUGGGACGAGAAGACCCUGUCGAGCUUUAAUGGGCCUGGGUAGGCGAUUGAAGUUGCUUACUUGCUAAUUUAUUCGUUGAUAAGGAUGAGUGGCAUUACUUGUGUUUGUGGCGACGUUUUAUGUAGGCCGUUUUGGUUGGGGCAACCGCGGAGAAUAUGUAUCCUCCGCUGGGUUCGAUAAGUAAAAUGAUGGUUUUCUUACUUGUUAUGUUUGUGUGAUCCGCUGUUUGGGCGAGCAAAAGAACAAGUUACCGCAGGGAUAACAGCGUAAUUCUUUUAGAGAGUUCAUAUUGAUAAGGGAGUUUGCGACCUCGAUGUUGGAUCGGGAUUUCCUGGGGGUGCAGCAGCUCCCGAGGGUUGGUCUGUUCGACCAUUAAAAUCCU
rnacentral:rRNA from 1 species